CCAAUAAACUCCGUGCACCGGGCGCCAUUGAUUCUCGCUACGCCUCUGUGUGUGUGUGUGUUUACAGCUAUAGUGUCAUUUUGAUGUCAAAGUUAUUUUGGUGUGCUAUAUUGAACUUAUUUGAAGCCUACUAUUACUGACACUCAAUUGUAUGGUUCAUAGGCUGCGAUAGUUGGGCCGCGGUAUCCUCUUGUUUUGUUUUCUUUGCCCGGGCGUUAAGAGCCAAACAAAGUUUGCCCUGUUGGUCCAGUCCAAUGUUUAAACUGUGUGGCCUCUCCCUCGAACACACUAGUUAAUGCGCGAGUUAUUUAAGGAAGACAGCCAGACAGUGGAAGAGACAGUGAAACAGUGAAAGAUUUAUAUAAAAGUACUUCAUUAAAAAAAAUGAUCAGAUGAUUCUUAGUGAGAUGUGACUGAUUCACUGCAAGGUCGGGUAAGAGAAAACAAAAGUUGUACUUGGUCUAGAGUAAUUGAUAGAUAUGAGUUCUAGGUAUGCUGGCCAUGAAGUGCUACCUACAGGACUGGUCUUUUCAACUGUGGAGUUGAUGACACAGCCAGCUAGGACUGGGCGCACUCAGAGGCGUAGUGAGGGGAAGGCAAGGGAACCCAGAGCGCCACACGGAGAGGGGUGCCAAAUUUGAGACAAAUACGAUUCUAUGGACAUCAUCAAUUUAAAAUAAAAUAUUUUUAACUAACAAACUA
rnacentral:sRNA from 1 species